rnacentral:rRNA from 1 species
UACGUAGGGUGCGAGCGUUGUCCGGAAUUAUUGGGCGUAAAGGGCUCGUAGGCGGUUUGUCGCGUCGGGAGUGAAAACCCAGGGCUUAACCCUGGGCUGGCUUCCGAUACGGGCAGACUAGAGGUAUGCAGGGGAGAACGGAAUUCCUGGUGUAGCGGUGAAAUGCGCAGAUAUCAGGAGGAACACCGAUGGCGAAGGCAGGUCUCUGGGCCACUACUGACGCUGAGAAGCGAAAGCGUGGGGAGCGAACAGG